rnacentral:rRNA from 1 species
AACGAACGCUGGCGGCAUGCCUAACACAUGCAAGUCGAACGAGACCUUCGGGUCUAGUUGCGCACGGGUGCGUAACGCGUGGGAACCUGCCCUUAGGUUCGGAAUAACUCCCCGAAAGGGGUGCUAAUACCGGUUAAUGUCUUCGGACCAAAGAUUUAUCGCCUUUGGAUGGGCCCGCGUUGGAUUAGCUAGUUGGUAGGGUAAAAGCCUACCAAGGCGACGAUCCAUAGCUGGUCUGAGAGGAUGAUCAGCCACACUGGGACUGAGACACGGCCCAGACUACUACGGGAGGCAGCAGUGGGGAAUAUUGGACAAUGGGCGAAAGCCUGAUCCAGCAAUGCCGCGUGAGUGAUGAAGGCCUUAGGGUUGUAAAGCUCUUUUACCCGGGAUGAUAAUGACAGUACCGGGAGAAUAAGCGCCGGCUAACUACGUG